CCCUUAGAUGUUCUGGGCCGCACGCGCGCUACACUGAUGCGUUCAACGAGUAUACAACCUUGAUCGAUAGGUCUGGGUAAUCUUGUGAAUGCGCAUCGUGCUAGGGAUAGAUUGUUGCAAUUUUCAAUCUUGAACGAGGAAUUCCUAGUAAACGCAAGUCAUCAGCUUGCAUUGAUUACGUCCCUGCCCUUUGUACACACCGUCCGUCGCUACUACCGAUUGAACGGUUUAGUGAGGGCCUCGGAUUGGUCUCGGCCCGCUCUUUACCGGGCGGUGCCGUUGGUCGAGAAGACGCUCGAACUUGAUCGUUUAGAGGAAGUAAAAGUCGUAACA
rnacentral:rRNA from 1 species